rnacentral:rRNA from 2 species
CUAUGUGUUGUUGGGUAGGGGAGCGUUCUGUAAGCCUGUGAAGGUGUACUGUGAGGUAUGCUGGAGGUAUCAGAAGUGCGAAUGCUGACAUAAGUAACGAUAAAGCGGGUGAAAAGCCCGCUCGCCGGAAGACCAAGGGUUCCUGUCCAACGUUAAUCGGGGCAGGGUGAGUCGACCCCUAAGGCGAGGCCGAAAGGCGUAGUCGAUGGGAAACAGGUUAAUAUUCCUGUACUUGGUGUUACUGCGAAGGGGGGACGGAGAAGGCUAUGUUGGCCGGGCGACGGUUGUCCCGGUUUAAGCGUGUAGGCUGGUUUUCCAGGCAAAUCCGGAAAAUCAAGGCUGAGGCGUGAUGACGAGGCACUACGGUGCUGAAGCAACAAAUGCCCUGCUUCCAGGAAAAGCCUCUAAGCAUCAGGUAACAUCAAAUCGUACCCCAAACCGACACAGGUGGUCAGGUAGAGAAUACCAAGGCGCUUGAGAGAACUCGGGUGAAGGAACUAGGCAAAAUGGUGCCGUAACUUCGGGAGAAGGCACGCUGAUAUGUAGGUGAAGUCCCUCGCGGAUGGAGCUGAAAUCAGUCGAAGAUACCAGCUGGCUGCAACUGUUUAUUAAAAACACAGCACUGUGCAAACACGAAAGUGGACGUAUACGGUGUGACGCCUGCCCGGUGC